rnacentral:rRNA from 1 species
UACGUAGGGGGCAAGCGUUGUCCGGAAUCAUUGGGCGUAAAGCGCGUGUAGGCGGUUCGGUAAGUCCGCUGUGAAAGUCGGGGGCUCAACCCUCGGAUGCCGGUGGAUACUGUCGGGCUCGAGUACGGAAGAGGCGAGUGGAAUUCCUGGUGUAGCGGUGAAAUGCGCAGAUAUCAGGAGGAACACCAAUUGCGAAGGCAGCUCGCUGGGACGUUACUGACGCUGAGACGCGAAAGCGUGGGGAGCAAACAGG